rnacentral:ncRNA from 1 species
UAACCGGGACGGCCCGGCUACUAAAGUUUGAUGCGGGACGACCCG